rnacentral:rRNA from 1 species
CUAGCGACUUCAGAGUUUGAUCCUGGCUCAGGACGAACGCUGGCGGCGUGCCUAACACAUGCAAGUCGAACGGGGUUAUUAUGGAAGGCUCUUCGGAGACGGAAGGUUUAACUUAGUGGCGAACGGGUGAGUAACGCGUGAGAAACCUGCCUUUCAGUGGGGGACAACAGUUGGAAACGACUGCUAAUACCGCAUAACAUAUUUUAGGGGCAUCCCUUUAAUAUCAAAGCUUUAUGUGCUGAAAGAUGGUCUCGCGUCUGAUUAGCUAGUUGGUGAGGUAACGGCUCACCAAGGCGACGAUCAGUAGCCGGUCUGAGAGGAUGAACGGCCACAUUGGGACUGAGAUACGGCCCAG